GCAGUCGAACGGUAGCACAGAGAGCUUGCUCUCGGGUGACGAGUGGCGGACGGGUGAGUAAUGUCUGGGAAACUGCCUGAUGGAGGGGGAUAACUACUGGAAACGGUAGCUAAUACCGCAUAACGUCGCAAGACCAAAGAGGGGGACCUUCGGGCCUCUUGCCAUCAGAUGUGCCCAGAUGGGAUUAGCUAGUAGGUGGGGUAACGGCUCACCUAGGCGACGAUCCCUAGCUGGUCUGAGAGGAUGACCAGCCACACUGGAACUGAGACACGGUCCAGACUCCUACGGGAGGCAGCAGUGGGGAAUAUUGCACAAUGGGCGCAAGCCUGAUGCAGCCAUGCCGCGUGUAUGAAGAAGGCCUUCGGGUUGUAAAGUACUUUCAGCGGGGAGGAAGGUGUUGUGGUUAAUAACCACAGCAAUUGACGUUACCCGCAGAAGAAGCACCGGCUAACUCCGUGCCAGCAGCCGCGGUAAUACGGAGGGUGCAAGCGUUAAUCGGAAUUACUGGGCGUAAAGCGCACGCAGGCGGUCUGUCAAGUCGGAUGUGAAAUCCCCGGGCUCAACCUGGGAACUGCAUUCGAAACUGGCAGGCUAGAGUCUUGUAGAGCGGGGUAGAAUUCCAGGUGUAGCGGUGAUAUGCGUAGAGAUCUGG
rnacentral:rRNA from 1 species